rnacentral:rRNA from 1 species
GACGAACCGUGCGAACGUUGUUCGGAAUCACUGGGCUUAAAGGGCGCGUAGGCGGGUGUGCAAGUCUGUGGUGAAAGCCCCCAGCUUAACUGGGGAAGUGCCGUGGAUACUGCACGUCUUGAGGAGGGUAGGGGCAUCUGGAACGGUCGGUGGAGCGGUGAAAUGCGUAGAUAUCGUCUGGAACGCCGAAGGUGAAAACAGCUCGCUGGGAUUGUGCUGACGCUGGAGACACGAAAGCCAGGGGAGCGAACGGG